GACGUAGGGGGCCAGCGUUGUUCGGAAUUACUGGGUGUAAAGGGUUCGUAGGCGGUGUAGCAAGUCGGGAGUGAAAUCUCUGGGCUUAACCCAGAGGCUGCUUCCGAAACUGCUGUGCUUGAGUGUGGGAGAGGCGCGUGGAAUUGCAGGUGUAGCGGUGAAAUGCGUAGAUAUCUGCAGGAACACCCGUGGCGAAAGCGGCGCGCUGGACCACUACUGACGCUGAGGAGCGAAAGCCAGGGGAGCAAACGGG
rnacentral:rRNA from 1 species